UACGUAGGGUGCAAGCGUUAAUCGGAAUUACUGGGCGUAAAGCGUGCGCAGGCGGUGAUGUAAGACCGAUGUGAAAUCCCCGGGCUUAACCUGGGAACUGCAUUGGUGACUGCAUUGCUGGAGUAUGGCAGAGGGGGGUGGAAUUCCACGUGUAGCAGUGAAAUGCGUAGAGAUGUGGAGGAACACCGAUGGCGAAGGCAGCCCUCUGGGCCAAUACUGACGCUCAUGCACGAAAGCGUGGGGAGCAAACAGG
rnacentral:rRNA from 1 species